rnacentral:rRNA from 1 species
UACGUAGGGGGCAAGCGUUGUCCGGAUUUAUUGGGCGUAAAGCGCGUGUAGGCGGCCAGAUAGGUCUGCUGUGAAAACUCGGGGCUCAACCUCGAGCUGUCGGCGGAAACCAUCUGGCUAGAGUCCGGAAGAGGAGAGUGGAAUUCCUGGUGUAGCGGUGAAAUGCGCAGAUAUCAGGAAGAACACCGAUGGCGAAGGCAGCUCUCUGGGACGGUACUGACGCUGAGACGCGAAAGCGUGGGGAGCGAACAGG